UCCUCCUAAAGAGUAACGGAGGAGCACGAAGGUUGGCUAAUCCUGGUCGGACAUCAGGAGGUUAGUGCAAUGGCAUAAGCCAGCUUGACUGCGAGCGUGACGGCGCGAGCAGGUGCGAAAGCAGGUCAUAGUGAUCCGGUGGUUCUGAAUGGAAGGGCCAUCGCUCAACGGAUAAAAGGUACUCCGGGGAUAACAGGCUGAUACCGCCCAAGAGUUCAUAUCGACGGCGGUGUUUGGCACCUCGAUGUCGGCUCAUCACAUCCUGGGGCUGAAGUAGGUCCCAAGGGUAUGGCUGUUCGCCAUUUAAAGUGGUACGCGAGCUGGGUUUAGAACGUCGUGAGACAGUUCGGUCCCUAUCUGCCGUGGGCGCUGGAGAACUGAGGGGGGCUGCUCCUAGUACGAGAGGACCGGAGUGGACGCAUCACUGGUGUUCGGGUUGUCAUGCCAAUGGCACUGCCCGGUAGCUAAAUGCGGAAGAGAUAAGUGCUGAAAGCAUCUAAGCACGAAACUUGCCCCGAGAUGAGUUCUCCCUGACUCCUUGAGAGUCCUGAAGGAACGUUGAAGACGACGACGUUGAUAGGCCGGGUGUGUAAGCGCAGCGAUGCGUUGAGCUAACCGGUACUAAUGAACCGUGAGG
rnacentral:rRNA from 1 species